UUUUUUUUUCUUGAAGUAGAGGAGUUAAUUGCAGAGAAGACUUGAUCUUAGAAGCUGAACCAGAUGGUGAUCUGGCCAGCAGGGACGUGUGCUCCUUCAAUCCGCCCGCCUUCCCUCAAACUGAAAGCAGUACAUCAACACUGAAAUUGGAAGCUAAACUAACAAUUCAAUAGAGAAACUUCAGCUUUUCUGUGAAGGUGGUUAUUAAUGAUUUAAAAUAAAACAACAUGAUAAGUUUCAAGGUCAAAAAGGAUCCACUGUUUUUCAAUCUUCUUCAACCUCUCAACUUUUAAAAUUUAGGUUGAUGGUGGAGGUAGAAACCUAUAGAAUUUAGACCAACUAGCAGCAUACUUUAAUUAUUUGUGGCUAUUUUGUAUUCCUUAGAAAUAGUCUGUAGACUGCCAGCACUGGAUAUAAAUGCCUUAGAAAUGAGAGUUCUGGUUCUUGGGGUCCAUUUUUAUUUCUUCAGGAGUCAGCCCUUACUUUUUGUCAGUUAUAAGACCCUAUCUUUAAGUUUUUUAAGCUUAAAAAUUUGUACAGUUGGGAUAUUAGCUAUAUCCUUCUAGGAGAUGUUAUUAAGCAUCAUUAUCAGCGAAAUACUAAUCUUUUUACAUCUUUCAGAGUAAAAGACUAAGUAUAUUACAAACUAAGCAAACAUGAUUUAAAUAAUAAAACAACUUGAGGUUUGAAAAACUUUAAUGGUUGGACAAACUGUAUCUGACCCAUAUAGUUCUAACACUUGCAAUUCUUGAAGAUGAAGUGGCUGCUAUAAGGAUUCUUUUAGUGUCACUUUAGAUAUUUGUCAGCAAAACAGCAUAGGAUAGUUCCCAAACUAUAAUUUAUUUCCUUUUUGAAGCAACAAAUGCUUUCAGAAAGUUGCCGUGACUGUGGGAAACAUAUUAAUAACACUUCUAAGCAAUAUUUCAGUUUUUGUGGAACUUUACAUCAAGUUCUGACCAGCUGUACUGUUAUGUCUGCUAAAAGCUGGACUAUAAUAAGUUCUGGGGAAAGGGCAUGCCUUCAGUACAUGCUUAUGCCUGUGGUAUAAGGUUCUGCUUUCUGCUCCCAGCCUCCCUGACUCUCAGACCUGCUGCACGUAACACCUCUGCGGUUCUGCUGACGUCUUUGCCUGAACUUUGUGGUGUGGUUUUUAUACACUUUGUUAUAGCUGAACACAAUAGAGGUUUGUCUUGGUUUAGAAUUCAGUGCACAAUUAACUGUUCUCUCCAACAAGAUAAACAAUACUGGUUAACUAUUCCUUUGUGUGUAAAGAUAAAUCUCUAGACGCAAUUCCUGACUCUUUGUGCUGUGUGAUACGUCAGCCUGAAUACGCAAAGAAAACAGAGCAAGAAAUCAUGCCCACUUUCCCACUUGCAUUUUUUUUUUUUUUAAUGAAAAAUGUGGGAAGUGAAUUAGAGGCUACAUUUUCAAACUUGAUCUUUUUAGGGUAUUAUUUCACCAGGCAGAUUCUACGCAAUUAGGAAAUGAAUGGACAAGUGUAUUGGCAACAACCCGAUUUGCCACACUGGUUUUAGUAAGAAUUUCUGUGCUAAUUAUUCUGACUUAAUCUGCAAGUUCACAUUUUCUACCCAGAAAUCUAUUGAUCCUUAGAGUUUGUUGCUUUUGUCUCAUCAUAGAGAAUCUAUGAAGAUGGAAGGUGCACAUCUUCCAACAGAGUCUCUAUUUGGAAUAUGAAUUACCAAGUGCAAACAAAUAUGAUGUUUGGAAAAUUGCAAGAUCCAUUCCAAACAUUUUACAUACUGUUGGGCCCUACUGACCUUUUUUUUCUAUCCUUGACAAAGCAACAGUUUGGGUUUAGUGCUCAUUAUUUCCUUUGUGAACUGCUGAGCAGUUUUGUAUCUCCUUGUGUAAAUCAAACCAACGUAACACUAAUGAAAUUCUUGAAUACUCUUCCCUCCUCCUGUUGUGACUCUUUUUUUCCCUGUGUCCUGGAUUUUUAUAGCAUAGAAUUACAGUAUGUGAAAUGUGAAGCAGAUAUGCAACAUACAGCAAGUUUUGGUAUCCCUCAAAACAGAGGCUGUUCAAUUACUGAUACAGAGCUUGCACUAAAAGUUAAUCUAAAAGUUUCAAAAACUUGCCACGCACUGCUUCUUUUCAUAUAUCUUUCUCUUUUUCACACCAUCCAUAUUAAUACCUAGGAAUCUCCAAUGGAAAAAAAGGCAUUAUUUAUCUUCUCUUCCAUUUUUUCUGCAACAGGAUCAGAUGUGAUUUUUCUCUAAGUAAUACAUCUUGCUUCAAAAAUACACAUAUCUCUUUUUAUGUUGCCAUUGAUUUCAAAGGAGAUAAGGCCUUUAAUGGAAUCCACCACUGACCUGAGACUUCUGAAAUAUAACACACGCCCUCAAGUUGACCAAGGGUCAAAUACACUCCUGUGCAGUGGGUUAGCACAAACCUUAUCACUGUAAGUGCCUCAUAAAUCUUGAAAAUAGGAAUUUUCUCUUUAGGGGCAUAAAUUUUGCCUAACUCUAGGUACACCUUGUAGUGAAUGUAGAUGUUUGGAAAGGUCUUUGAUUACAGUUAAGAAAUUGAGAACACCACAGGUACGAAUAUUGCAAUCCAGUCUUUAUUAUCCAGUGUUCAUAACACUGAUUUAUUAAUGAAGCUCAAAAGAAAGAGAUGUGACUUAAUAUGUUAGAUAGUAGCUGUUCCUAGUGUAGAUUUACCAUUGUUUUGUGCGUAACCAGGGUGAGUCACUUCACUUUUGUAGGUAUGAAAAAUAUAAAAUAGUGUGCACGAGAAUAUUUCCUUUGUGCCUAGUGUGGCAACAGAAUAAAGUAAUAUUAGUUACUAAUCAAUUACUAUUAGUUAAUGCAUCUGCAGCUUUAUAAGGUGUAAGUAAUAUACAAAAGCAGCUCUAUGGAAUUUUUCCCUAAAGGCAUAGAAAGCCAUAUCUACUUUGGAUGAGUUCUAUUUUCUCCAUGUCAGCUGCUUUAAUCUUAAAGCUCUGGAAUUCAAGCUGUGUUUAUGGAUUACCACUGAUCACAAUCUGUAAGACUUUUAUAUCCUUGACUAUGCAAACUUAAUUCUGGUCCUAUGUUUCUAGAGAAACUGCUUGUGGAAGCAAGAUUUAAAAUUUGUUUUCCAUUAGUAUUUAAGCUCGAGAUUAAAAUUCACACUAAUGAAAUGAAGAUGUACAAUUUUACUUAGAAGCUGGAUGUGGGAGGAUCACUAAGCUGGCUAGAAUUAAAAAAAAAAAACAACCAACAACGAAACCAAAAACCCAAAACAAACAAAAAACAUAAACAACCCCCCAAAAAAACUAGCACUAACUGGCAAAUAUUUCAGAAAAUAGUCAGACAUUGCUUAUGUGGGUCUAGCAGACAAUUUAGAAACAGAAAGUAUUGUCAUGGGUUUUAUUACUCUCCCCUAUCAUCUGGGGGUUCUGUUGGUGAUUGUUUGUGUGAGGCUGGAUUUUACAUUCAAAGUGAUCUCUGAUUGUAGAGCCACAGACUCAGUAAAGUUAGAAAAGUUAAAGUUAGAAAAGGCCUCUUUGCAUGACCCCAAAUAGGGUCACCUGGAGCAGAUUUCCCAGGACAAUGCCCACUCAGAUUUUCAAUAUCUCCAAGGAUGGAGACUCCACAGCCUCUCUGGCCGACUUUACAGUGUUUGAUCACCCUCUCAGUAAAUAAGUGUUGUUUUGUAUUAAGAUGGAAUUUCAUGUGUUUGGGUUUGUGCCCAUUGCCUCUUGUCCUGUCACUGGGCCCUACAGAGAAGCAUUCUGGCUUAAUCUUCAUCCCAUGGGCUGAUGCCUGGCGUUAUUCCUCCCCAGACUUGGCACUUCCCUAUGUUCAAUUUAAUGAGAUUUCUGUAGGCCUCUUUCUCCAACCUAUCCAUGUCCCUCCAAACACCAAUAUAACCAUCUUGAUCACAAUUUACUCCUCUACUUUACAUAUAAUUUGAAAACUCACUGCAGAUGUACUCUGUCCAAUUUUCCAGGACAUUAAAGAAGAGGUUAAAUGGCAAGGACAUGGUAUCAACCCCGAGACACACCACCAGUGACUGGCUUCCAUCUGGAUUUUCUGUGACUGAUUAUGCUUCUCUGGGCUCAGUCAUUUAGCCAGUUUUCAAUCCACCUCCCUGCACUUAUCUAACCUGUACUUAAACUAUUUAUCUAUGGAUAUGUUAUGUGAGAGAGUGUCAAAAGCCUUGCUAAAGUCAAGUAAACAUCAUCCAUGGCUCUCCUGUCACUCACCAAGAUAGUCAAGCUAUCAGGCUGGUCAGGCAUGAUUUACUCUUACCUGCUUCUGACUGCUCCUGAUAACCUUAAUAUUCUUCAUGUGUCCAAAAAAGGUUUCCAGGAUUAUUUGCUUCACCAGCUUCAGAGGGAUGGAGGUGAGGCUGACCAGCCUGUAGUUCCUUGGAUCCACCUUCUUGCUCUUUUUGAAGAUAGAGAUGAUAUUUGAUUUCUUCCAUUCCUCAGAAACCUCUUCAAAUUGCCAUAAGUUUCAAAGAUAAGCAACAACAUCAGCCAGCUUCCUCAGCUCUCAUGGCUUCAUCCCAUCAGCUCCCAUGGACUUGUGUGUGCCCAGUUUGUUUAAGUGUUUCCUAGCCUUGCCCUCCUCAAUUGAGGGUAAGUAUUUCUUGCUCCAAAAAUAAGUCCAUUAAAAUUAAGAUAGAGCAGCAUACUGCCAUCAGUAUUAAGUCCUUUGAUUUUAAUCUAAUGGAGCAUUCUGAUUUUGGUUUUUUUCCCAUCAGAACAAACCUGGAAGAUGCUGAGCAUCCAAAAUUCCACAGGCAUUUUCUUGGCAUCUGAGUUCUCAAUAGCAUUAUGUAGGAUCAGCCUCUCCAGAAUUGUUCAUAAAUUUCCUGUAUAAACUUGAGGAAUAAAUCUUGGAGAUAUGACAUUCAUUUUGUUUGUUAUUUUAGGCCACUUUAUACUUGAUCUGAUCUUCAAGGUCAGUGUUCUUGUCUCUUUUUUUUUUAAGAUAAACAAAUUUGUAUCCUUUUUUGACCAGGACAUCACAUCUCAAAAGUAUGUGCGACAGAGCUGCAGUUUACAUUUCAUCUGCUUCAACAGUUGGUUCUGACAACUGCCAGGAAAGGAGCAUGGCGUUGUUCACUGCCUGGAUUUAUGGCUGUGCCUUCAUCCUUUCUGUAAGUCCAUGUUGCAGCAAUGUCCUGGGAAAGUUUUUAUCUGACGUGGGAUCCUUCCCAUUGACAUGAGGAAAGGGUUGUGUUUGAGAGAAAUGUCCAUCUAAAGGGGACCAUCAAGGCACCACGUCAGGGGCUUGGAGACCUGUGCUCAAUUUUCACCUUUGACAAGUUUUUCUUGACUCAGUGUGAGCGAUUUGCUUUUCCUUGGAUUGCAUCUGCACUUAGAAAAUGAGCCCACUCCUGAACAAAGGUGUUGAAAGACUACAUUAAUCUUUGUGGGGUGCUCAGACACGUCACACUAAGUACCUGGAUAGAUGGCUGACAGCCAAGAUGAGGCAAAUUACUAAUUGCUUUCUUUCAGCUCAGGUUUUUGGGUUGCUUUGUAAUCCGUUGUGUGGGAAGACACCAAGAUACAUGUGUUAACUAUUAAAUAUGAGGCUGUAAAAUGUAGAUUUGUCUGUGACAGAGCCAUGACAGAAUGACAAAGAGAAGCUUCCCUUUUCUGCUCUACUAUUUUUCUUCACACAGCAGGAUGAAGGUUGGUUACAUGAAGAUUUGAACAACAUUGUGCAGAAGAAAAUGAGAAGAAAAAUCUGAAGAAUUCUGUCAAGAGUACCUUUCUGAGAUGUGAUCCGUCUCCCAAAUAAAAUUUGUAAUGGGAUAUAGUAACACAUGAAUUUCCUUGUAAUUCAUGUGUUACUAUACAUGAAAAUUAAGCAGGCAAUUAAAAGCUGAGCCAGCUUUUAAUUGCCUGCUUACAAAGAUUUGAAUUGGACUGGAACUGAUACUAAUAUCUCUUUCCUUUCAAGGAUAUCUAUUGUGUACAUUUUCUUGAGUGACUGCCCACUGUGCUUUUGUAUUUUUGUCAUAUGCUAUCAUCUGAUUUGUUUAAUUAAGUACUUUGUAGGUGUUCCUGUUCCCCAGGAAAAAAAUCCCCAGACUCAGAACAAUACAUAAUCAUGCUUCUGAAAAGUAAUUGUAUUUUUUAAAAGGUAAAUGGUAAGAAAACGAAAGAAACCAAGAAUACCUGUAGUGCCAAUUCCAUAGAUGACUUCUCACAGAACUAUUGCUACAACAUAGGAAAACUGAAACACCAUUUUUGUGCUAAAUAUUAACAGCAGUAACACUGUUACUCUGAAAUGUUGACCAUGUGAAUCCAGAGGUAAAUGAGAUAUAUAUAUAUAUAUAUAUAUGUUUGGGCUUUUGACCUUUUCAGUAUUUGUUUGCCAUUUCAUUCUCUCACCUAUAACCUGGAGAUUUAUGGCAGAGUAAACUUGUUAAUCCUAACAACCAUAUUUUCAUUUGGAAGCUGGACUGACCGUCAGCAAACAUCAAAGGAACUCCUUGGUUUUCAAGGGACACCUGUUAAAAGGGAAGGUUCAUGCGUCACCCAGCACUGCUGGAGUAAAACAUGUUUACUGUGCUACUGAUGGUUGUUAUCACUUGGAAACCUUGCAGGUCUCCUCAGACACUGGGUAGAUGAAGAAUUAAACCCUCUUCAGGUGUGGGGGGAGCAUGUAUCUUCUUGGCUUGGGUUUCAGCAAGUUCUUCAUAUUUUGUAUUAGUCAAAAGUAUCUUUUAGACCUAGGUCUGCUGCUCCUCCAAAGACAAAGAGUCUUUGCAAAGCUGACUGGAGCUGGCUGAUGUGGGUGAGUGUGCCUCACACCAUGGACCCGGGCCAAAGAUCAUUAAAGCCAACUGUGAUCUUUCCACUGACUUCUGUGCAUUUUGCCUCAGAUCCUCGGGGCAAAAUAGUGCCUCUGUGAGUCACACAAAUGCAUUUUGCCCCACAAUUAAUUAAAAUUAUUUGAAUUCAUGAGACUUCUCAUGAGAUCAAAAUGGUAAUCAGUAUGAGAGUGAGCAAUGUUGUCAUUAUCACUAUGUAGUCCAUGUUUUACAUUUUUCCUUUGACUUCUGUGUUAUUUUAUGAUCAGGAAGUAUCAGUUUUAUUUUGGGAGUAUCCUGCCUGAUUGUGUCUGUGCAGUGUGCAUUCGUUUAAUGUUUAUGCAUCAGUUUGUGAGGUUUAGUUGAAGAUGAAAAGGUAUAUCUUUUUAAAAUUUCAGCAGUGUUAGUGCAGAAGGAAAUCAUACAAUAUUGCAAAAAUGUAUAAGAUUUAAGGCACUAGAAUUAGAAACAUGAUAUUGAAGUAAGUGGUCUGACCUUUAAAAAAUUCAGUCCUUUGUAUACUUGGAUAAUAAUUUAAAUUUUUGUGUCUGAAUGCACCUUUUAAAAAUGCUCUUUUUUUCAUGAAGAUUAAGUAUCAUGUCAAGAAACAGCUUGGGACUUGACAGGCCAUGCAUUUUAUGUUCCAUUUACGUGCAGGAUUUCUAGGUGCCAGACCCUACACUUACAGAAAUGAAAGUUGAUUCUCUUUGGUGCCAGCAGUGUAAGUAUUCAUCUACAUGUAAAACUAUUUCAUUUUGGUUUUUUUUUUUGUCUAACUAUGCUCUUUAAAACAAACAGCUUAAUGCAGCAUCACCUGUGAAAAAAUUCAGUGGGGAAUGCCACCUACACUCCAAAUGUUAUCCCAAGAGAAGUGUGCCUUAUGCUUUUACAAACUGCUUCAGGGUGGCUUCCCAGACAGACCAGAUUAUCCUGCUGCUCAAGUGCUCCAAACCAUCCUCCUGUCUUCUGUGACUCUUUUGACCUUUGCCAUCCAGGUGACCCCAGCAUGCAACAGCAUUCCCAAGCUUGCUUGGAUCCAGGUGCUACACAAAGGACUGGUAUGACUUCACUCCAGAGUAGGUGGCACGUGUCUCUGGGAGUACUUGAGCAGCUCCACACUCUUCCCACGCUCAUGUUUUCUGCCAUCCACGCUGCACUGACACUUUCUGGCAGCUGCAUAGACCUGCCUGCCAAAGCAGGCCAUCCUGUGUGAGGGCAGCAUCCAAUAAUAAUAUUCUGUGAGAUCCGCUUCUGGUUAUAAACAAUUUGCCACAAAACCAAAAAGUACCUACUGUUCUCAGAAUUUUUUUUUUCCCCUCCUGCAAAUUCAUGCUUCGUUAAUCUUCCUAGUUUUCUAUCAGUUUGUUUUUCAGGAGUUUGUUUAAUUUAUGGGUUUAUUAAUUUUCCAAGAACUUUUGCUAGUAGCAUGAUUUGCUUGUGUUUUUCCAGCAGGAAAUGAAAUCAAGACUGGUGAAUGAUGCCAAUUGUCAAAACUUUAUUAACAGCAGAGAAAUGUUUCUUGGAGAAAAGUUGAGUUUUACCACCUGUGUUCUCAGUCCUGAAGAUAGUUUUCUGUGAGGACUUGGGCAAAUCUCCUCACAGCACUCCACCUCUGCGCAAAAUGGGGAUAAUGCCUUAUCCAGUCUAGAAAAAACACAGUCGAAAGUACAAAUGGAAAGCCUGAUGAUAGAAAUGAAAACUGUUCUAGCUGACACAGAUCUUGGAGCCUUGAGGUUUUUAUAAUUAGCUUUUGAUGUCCUGUUCAUGAUUCUCCGGAGUUUUAAAAAAAUAAAUUAAAAGAGUAAACCAAA